rnacentral:lncRNA from 1 species
CCCCCGCGUCCGCCUGCCGCCCGGCCCGGCCGCCCAGAGCUCGCCAUUGGGCCUCGCUCCCGGGGUCCCGCGCGCCGGCCGUGCUGAUUGGCCGCUGGGACUUCAUUCACGGCCCCCCUACCGUCCGCUUACAUACUCACGCCCCGGGGGCGCGGCCGCCACGUGGGGAGUGGCGCGGGGGUGGCACUGGGACCGCACCCCCUCUCGUCCUGGCUGCGUGGGCCCCGCUUACCCCUGGUGCAGGAGACUCGGAGCCCGGCAGGUCCCACACUCCACGCGAACUGAAUUCCCGCCCGUCUCCUGCCCGGGCGGCCAAGAGGCGGCGGCGGGGAUUGCGGGCUCCGGGAGGCGCUCAGGCUCCGAGAAGCAGCUCAGCCCCGCGCUCCUCCCUCCGCAGUGCCGCUGCCGGCGGGCCGGGAUUCCCGCGGGUCUCGGCGGCUGCGAGCCGGAGGCGGCGCGGGUCCCGGCUCGGUUCCGGCGCGGCUGCUCACCUCGGCCGCCUUGCCUCCCGCGACUUCAGCCGGCACAGAGCUCUCCUCUGCGCGCCUCCCCGGCCCGUCUCGUUUUCCCUCUUCUCCUUCUAGACCCAGCAUCGCAACUCCGCCGACCUACGCGGCCCCGAGAGCGCGUUGGGUGCGGGUGGAGUCGGACUGGCCCUGGCUUCCCGCCUCGUGCGGGUUCCCCUUCUUCCGGACUCCGCGGACCAGCCCUCCCGGACUUCCCACCUGCAAAAGGGCGGCCCCACCACCUGCCGGAAGAUCUGCCGGCUUGGGCUUUGGAGCAUGAGUGCUCCAGCUCAACUGUUUGCCUGUCGACGGUCCCUCUGGCAUCGCUGGACCUUUUCGGGGAUUGGACUUGGGACUCCUCUCCUCCUGGCUGUGUUUGGAUUCCAGCCUUCCCCGGUUGGACCUCCCUGCUCAGUUCCUUGGGUCAUUCCCAGGCAGUCUCGCCUGGAUACAGUUCCCCUCCUGUGCGGGCUGCUCCCCCAGGGACUGGGGCCGCCAUCCCCGUCUGCCCCAGGCUCCCUGGCCCACGGCCUGGCCCACAGCCGUGCUGGAACACGAGCGUGAUGGAUGAUUCCAGUGCCUCAGCUCCUAUCUUGCAAUCAUCCGAUGGCUCCCCUCCCCUUACAGUCUUCUCCCUUCACUGAUGGUUUUGGAUGGAAUUUAAAAUAAAAAAGAUUGAUUAAAAGUUGGAAACUGUGUA